rnacentral:lncRNA from 1 species
CGAGGAGCCAGGAGGCCCCCGUGGUCUGAGCUGCUGCCGCUGCCCAAGCUACGCUUGGAUUCAGGAGGUUGCCUCCUAGCCGAUAGCCGAAGAGAGCGCCGUCCCCGGUCCCGCGGCACUGGUGCUGCUCGGUCCAGCCUCUCUGGAUGUA